GUCAGCACCCGGCACCUCGGGCCCUCGGGCGGCACUCACAAGAGGACGCGGGAGGACAGCUCUCAAGGCCCAGGCCGUGGUUUAGGAUAAUCACAGACGAGGCCUGCUAUUCUGAGUUUUAAUCCACACGCACAAGGCCAGAUUCGGGGAGCAACACCAGGAGGCCGCCUCAGGAAAGAUGUCCCCCUCAGCAGCGCUCCUUAUCUCAGAGCCAGGAAGCCAACUUUGUGACCCGGUUGUAGCUGGGGGAUUCGCUGAGCAUUCCUUGCCUGCCAGGUCCCCAAACUGUGGGUGGAAAGUUUCCCGAACAACUUCUCUAACUGCCAGUAUGCUAGGUGAAGACCAGAGUGAACGGGCAGCGAAGAGGCAGUCUCAGGAGCACAGGCAGAAGAGCCAGGCCUGGAGGCGGGAGGUACGGAAGUUCUUGUGCCAGUGGACUCUCUGAAGACUGGGCUUCUGGUGGGAUGCCAGAGGCAGCGUACACGAGGAGGUAUACCUGAGGAUGAACUGUGUCCUCCUUCCUGUCCACUGAAUUAUGACCAUGGUCUACGAGGGUCUACUUUGGACUAAAUAACCUACCUCUUAUUUCUCACACAGUACAUUUGGGACAGAAUUGGUGAGAUAAUAAAAACUCUUUUAAUUCCUCAGAAUCAGAUACAGAAGACUGACCAAAAUAAUGAAAAUAGUAGAAAUAUAAAAUAGAGUUGACCAACAAUAAUCUGGGCAACAUUGCAUAUUUUGAAAAUUCAAAUGAUGUUUACAAAAAGUCUGUAAUAAUAUAGAAAUGCAUGUUGUAAUGUUAAUUGAAAAUAUGACUAUACAAAAUAGGUGUGAGAUUAUAGUCAUGGCUACAUAAAAUAUAAAAGCUGUUCGUAGGAAAAAUAGGAAGGAAAUACAUUACAUUUUAGUAACUUUGGGUUGACAAAACUGUGAGUGCUUUUUCUCCCCUUCAAGACA